GCCUAUACAAGGACUUUGCUGUUGCUAUCCUGUCUCAUAGUCAUGCAGAUCCCUGGCAACACACAGCUCACCAGCAGUAGGCGAUAUCACCGGAAAAGCUAUUCAUAUAAGUGGCAGUGGACCCUGAAGGAGGCUUUAGCAGGCAGCGCGUGGGUAAUACAGAUAGACAGGAUCUCGUGUUGCGGACAGAAGACAUCUGGCCACCGGAAGACAAGGGAUACACUGACCGUUGGAAAGAAGUCACCAGAGAGAGAGCCGAAGACAGAAUGACAUCCACUGCACACACAGUGCUUCUCUAGGAAUGGAUUUUGUG